AAACGAGAGCGUCUUCGUGUUUUCUUUCGCCAUCCUCUUAGUUCCUCGUUGUCUCCGGUGAAAGCAUCUCGGUGGCUAGAUCAUUAUCCGGUGAACUGAAAUCUAUUUUGUUUUGGACGGUAGACGACGGCCGUGGAUUGAAGGAGAUUAUCAUUCAAUCUAUGAAACGAUGAUAUGCUUUAAUUUCGGCUCCGAUCAGUCUGAAAUCUUACGGAUGUUGCAUCGGCUUUUGCUUGGAUCAUCGUCGUCGGCUUCUACUUGGAUCAUCAUCAUCGAUCGGAAUCCACAGAGUUUAUGUAUAAAGAGAGAGUUUUGAUUUGUCUCUGAAGGAAGAAGAUGAGAAAGAAAGAAAUAGAGAGAGUUUUGAUUUGUCUCUCAAGGAAGAAUUAGAAGAAGCGUUGUUGAGACUGCGUGAGAGCGUCUCUCAUCUAUUUAUUUAUAAGGGGAGCAAAGAGGUUCAAAAGAAACAAGGAAAUUGCUAAUCACAAUUAACAACGGUCACAAUCACAUAAUAUUUGACAAGAUAAACUUAACGGUCACAUAAUAUUUGACAAGAAACACUUAACGGUCACAUAAAGAUUUCCUUUUUUCCUUGGAUGGCUUUUCAUGAGUUUGUUUCCUUUGUUUGUUAGUUGUUACUGUGAGAGAAUCUGAUGAGUUUAAUUAAAGUGAAGAAUUCACUCAUUGC